UAGGCAGAGAGAGGGAGAUAGAGAGGGAAAGUUAGAGAGAGAGAGAGAGUGAGGGCGAAGAGGUCUGAGAGUAGUGAGAAAGGAGGAGCAGAGAGCGAAACUGGAGAAUUACUCCCAAAUUUUUCACAGAAAACCCCCUGAUCUUUUCAAAUUACGAAUUGGCCUCAAAUUUUCGCGCUUUCGUUCUCGGAUUGAUCUAAAUUAAUGAGCCGUUUAGGGUUUAAGUCCGUGGUCUACCAUGGCGAGCUGUGUUUGGGGGAGCUGGACGCUAUUCCGGUGACGGAGGGGAGUUUCCAGUUCCCAAACAAUGAGAUUCGAAUCCACCGGAUUUCGCAGCAAAGCGAGAGGUGUCCUCCCCUCUCGAUUCUCCAGACGAUUUCUUCGUUUUCGGUUCGAUGCAAACUCGAAUCGUCCUCCCCUGUCGAACAGCCGCAUUUGAUCAAUCUCCACGCCUCCUGUUUCUAUGAGUUCAAGACGGCGACUGUGUUGGUUGGGGAUGAAGAGAUUCACUUGGUAGCCAUGCCGAGUAAGCAGAAGAAAUUUCCGUGCUUUUGGUGCUAUGCGGUUCCUCUAGGUCUGUACAGUGCUUCUCUAGGAAUGCUGAAUCUGAGGGUUCUUUCAAUUGUGUUUGAUCUCGAUGAGACGUUGAUUGUUGCCAACACCAUGAAGUCUUUUGAGGAUAGAGUUGAGACUUUACGAAGCUGGGUUGCACGCGAGAGUGAUGGGGUUCGAAUGGCCGGAAUGUCUGCUGAAAUGAAGCGGUACAUGGACGAUAGGUGGCUGUUGAAGCAGUACAUAGAUAAUGAUUGUGUGACGGAUAAUGGAAAGUUGUAUAAGGUACAACUAGAGGAGGUUCCUCCACUGUCUGAUAACCACGAGAAAAUUGUUCGGCCUAUCAUUAGAUUGCCAGAGAAGAACAUUGUGCUCACUCGCAUCAAUCCUGAGAAUCGCGAUACCAGUGUGCUUGUGCGGUUACGACCUGCAUGGGAAGAUUUGAGAAGUUAUUUAACUGCAAAAGGACGCAAGAGGUUUGAAGUUUACGUCUGUACUAUGGCUGAAAGAGAUUAUGCCUUAGAAAUGUGGAGGCUUCUUGACCCAGGGUCACACUUAAUAGACUCAAAGCAGCUUCUGGACCGUGUUGUUUGUGUUAAAUCAGGCUCCAGGAAAUCUUUACUCAAUGUCUUCCAACAAGGAGUGUGCCAUCCAAAGAUGGCAAUGGUUAUUGAUGACCGUUCCAAGGUCUGGGAAGAUAAGGAUCAACCUCGAGUCCAUGUUGUUCCAGCAUUCACCCCUUAUUAUGCUCCUCAAGCAGAGACAGCUAGUGCAGUUCCAGUCCUCUGUGUAGCAAGAAAUGUUGCAUGCAAUGUCAGAGGUUGUUUUUUCAAAGAGUUUGAUGAAAUUUUGUUGCGAAGAAUUUCUGGAGUUUUUUAUGAAGAUGAGGUGGUAAAUUUGCCUCCUGCUCCUGAUGUGAGCAAUUACUUGAUGUUCGAGGAUACCGGUUUUGCACCAAAUGGAAAUGCUAAUGCUCCCAUUAGUGAAGGAAUGAAUGGUAGCGAAGUGGAACGAAGAUUGAACCCAUCUGAUGAUAAGGGUAGCGUGGAGUCAGUGGUUCAAUCUGUGAAAAAUGCCGAGUCAAGGUGUGACAACUCUCAAGCACCGACUGCAAUUCUUCCCAAUGCUGCCGGUACAUCUUUGAGGCCGGUCAUGCCUUCUCAGAAACCUGGUCUGCUUGGACUUCCUGUUAGACGAGAUAGCUUUUCUGAUCGUGACCAUGAAAUGAGGAGAGGACUCCUUGGUACAACUCCUAAUCUAGAUAUAAGGAGUCAAAGCUCUGCUGAGCCCCCUCUUCUAUCUAGAGUGCCUGUACAACUGCCAGCAUCCUCAAUAAAUGCACAAGGAGGAUGGUUGGUUGAUGAUGACGACAACAAUAGAGGACAUCCGAGUAAUCGCCCUUCUGGGCUUGUUCAGCAGCCUGAUGUUUCAAAACCUGAAAAGUCAGUUUACCAGAAUCCUUUCAGUCCUGCUAAACCAGGUUCGACACCCACUGGUUUGCUCUCACACAAAUCAGAUUUAAAGAGGGAAGAGAUAUCAUCUGGGUGUGAUUUGCAAAAUCUUCCUGUGCCAAGUCAGCCAUCAGAGGCUGGUGUAUCCCAGAUUCAGGCAUCUUCUUUGAAUAUAGAAUCUCAAACAGAAUCUGGUAAAGUAAACCUGGUACCAUCCCCUUUAUCUAUUGGAGUGCUGCAGGAAAUUGGACGGAGGUGCAGUUCAAAGAUUGAGUUCAGGUCUGUUUUAAGCACCAGCAAUGACUUGCAGUUUUCUGUUGAGGUUCUUUUCACUGGAGAGAAGAUAGGUUUUGGAAUGGGUAGGACGAGGAAGGAUGCUCAACAACAGGCUGCUGAGAAUGCCCUUCACAGCUUGGCUGAUAAAUAUGUAGCAUAUCUUGCACCUCGUUCUGGUGCCGUGGACAGAGAUUUAAAUAAAGGAAAUGAAAACGGAUUUCUAUUGGACAUGGUUGGUCCAGGAUCGGCUGAGCUGCUAAGGGAUGGAUCGCCUAAAGAAAGAACUUCAGAGGCUGCUGAAGUUGAACCUGGAAGUACUUUUACGGUGAGUCAGCAAGUUCUAAAGCGUGCCAGUUCCCCAAGAUUGAUAGAGUCGGUUGCAAAACGACCCAAGGAAGACAUAUUGCAUGGUUCACGAAGUUUAUCAUUUUCACGGCAGCAGAGAAUGGGGUUGCAGACAAACAUUGAAACGAGUCAUUUCAAUCUUGGCUCCUGCUAGCGCAUUCUUCCUCUUGCACUCGACAAAUGAAACAAUGGUCUUGGCGAGGUCCAGGUGGCUGCAUCUCUCCCCAACCUCCAAUGCUUUGUGAAAACUAAAGGAACAAGGAGGUAAAAGUAGAAAGACUGGCUUUUGGAGGCACACGACUUCGGCAUCUUGUACAAUUCGGAAUAUAUUUACCCCUUUCGGAGAGCCAGUUUCAAUAUUGCCAACGCGGGCUACCACAAAACUUCAGCAACAAAGCCGGAAGAGUAACAGCAGGCUGACGUGAAUGCCGGAAAUUCUCUACCCAGGUUUCCGGAAAAGUCAAUACCAAAACAAUCUGAAGUCAGACAGAAGGUUUUGCAGCAUUCUACGACCCCAUUGCAUAUCAUUGUGCAAGACCUCGUUGAUUGGCUCUGAGUUGGACUGUCCUCCCCCCUUAGCAGAAUUCUCUCUCUCACUGAUCGCGGAAGCUGUUUCCACUUGAGGUUGGCCGUUGCACAGGACACUAUCAUUGACGGGCUCUGAGUGGAAUUGUUCAUCGUCAAAAUUCUCCUGAUCGCCGUUGGUCAUUACACUUGUUUCUGCUUCAGGUAGGUCACUGUAUGGUUCUCGCUUCUCGUCUAACUGAAUCCAUUGGUUUGAGUACAUGAAAAGAUAGCAGAAAAGAGGACAUCAAUAACAGCAUUAUCAAGGGCCAAGAACAUCUAAAUCAAAUACUGAUGUUCGACAACAAUGCAUCGCCUUAUGCAUAGCAAAGAAAAAUCAUUCAUCAUGAACUCUCACAUUUUUCAGGAAUAGGGUUCCUCUAAAUGCUGAUGAAUUAGCAGCAUAAAUAAAAGAUACAAACGAAAUGCUUGAUAGAGAAUUCCUUGUCACAUUGCGAGUGUUAAUAGUUUCAGUUUGAAUCAGACAGCGCAGUUUCAAUUUGCAAUAGGAGAAUACAUGGCUAUGGAUUUGUAUUGUAGCAUACAACGUUUAUUACACUGCAAUGAUAUUGUGCAAAGAAUCGAAGAUGGUCAACUUUGUUGGUUAAUGAUUGUAACGAAAAUACACGAACAGUUUCUUCAUGCGAAUUUAUAGAUGAUUGCUCAA